GUGGGGAAUAUUGGACAAUGGGCGAAAGCCUGAUCCAGCCAUGCCGCGUGUGUGAAGAAGGUCUUCGGAUUGUAAAGCACUUUAAGUUGGGAGGAAGGGCAGUUACCUAAUACGUAUCUGUUUUGACGUUACCGACAGAAUAAGCACCGGCUAACUCUGUGCCAGCAGCCGCGGUAAUACAGAGGGUGCAAGCGUUAAUCGGAAUUACUGGGCGUAAAGCGCGCGUAGGUGGUUUGUUAAGUUGGAUGUGAAAUCCCCGGGCUCAACCUGGGAACUGCAUUCAAAACUGACAAGCUAGAGUAUGGUAGAGGGUGGUGGAAUUUCCUGUGUAGCGGUGAAAUGCGUAGAUAUAGGAAGGAACACCAGUGGCGAAGGCGACCACCUGGACUGAUACUGACACUGAGGUGCGAAAGCGUGGGGAGCAAACAGGAUUAGAUACCCCAGUAGUCCCUGAGCGGGCUGGCAAGGCGCAU
rnacentral:rRNA from 1 species